rnacentral:rRNA from 1 species
AGCGAACGCUGGCGGCAGGCCUAACACAUGCAAGUCGAACGAACUCUUCGGAGUUAGUGGCGGACGGGUGAGUAACACGUGGGAACGUGCCUUUUGGUUCGGAAUAACUCAGGGAAACUUGUGCUAAUACCGAAUGUGCCCUUCGGGGGAAAGAUUUAUCGCCAUUAGAGCGGCCCGCGUCUGAUUAGCUAGUUGGUGAGGUAACGGCUCACCAAGGCGACGAUCAGUAGCUGGUCUGAGAGGAUGACCAGCCACACUGGGACUGAGACACGGCCCAGACUCCUACGGGAGGAAGCAGUGGGGAAUCUUGCGCAAUGGGCGAAAGCCUGACGCAGCCAUGCCGCGUGAAUGAUGAAGGUCUUAGGAUUGUAAAAUUCUUUCACCGGGGACGAUAAUGACGGUACCCGGAGAAGAAGCCCUGGCUAACUUCGUG